rnacentral:rRNA from 1 species
CAGCCGCCACGGGAAUACGGAGGGUGCAAGCGUUAUCCGGAUUUAUUGGGUUUAAAGGGUCCGUAGGCGGAUCUGUAAGUCAGUGGUGAAAUCUCACAGCUUAACUGUGAAACUGCCAUUGAUACUGCAGGUCUUGAGUAAAUUUGAAGUGGCUGGAAUAAGUAGUGUAGCGGUGAAAUGCAUAGAUAUUACUUAGAACACCAAUUGCGAAGGCAGGUCACUAAGAUUUAACUGACGCUGAUGGACGAAAGCGUGGGGAGCGAACAGGAUUAGAUACCCCCGUAGUCCCUGUCUCUUAUAC